UCCCUGGCGGUCCAGUGGUUAAGACUCCGCACUCGCGAUGCGGGGGGUACAGGUUCGAUCCCUGGUCAGGGAA